rnacentral:snoRNA from 1 species
AGCAGUUAUGUCUGUUUUUAAUUUGUGGACAAAGAGUUACAGAUAGGUGCAAAAUUAAAUCCUUUUUUGCAACCCAGAAUUCAUUAUGGGUUCAGUAUGAGUUUUGAUACAGAUAAAAAGGAACAAU